GUAAGCAAUUUUGUUGCCAUCUAAAUAUGUUGUAUAAUGUGCUGCUCUAUAAAUUAUUAUAUUUGUAUGUAUUCGUUUUCAGAUGCCUAAUUGAGCACAUUGAACAUUACUUUCUACAAUGUGAAGAAUUUGAUUUUCAUUUGAAACCCUAUUACAUACUUUGGCCCUGGAUGCUUGAAUUCUUUACAUAACCUACAAAGACUAGUUCUUGUGGAUGUUGGUCUCUCAUCCUUACAGUUUCAAAUGAAUAAUCUAACAAGUAGCUUAGAGUCUGGACAAAUAACAUCCAGUCUAUGUCUCUCCCUCCAUUCAUGAGUACCUUCAAAGACUUAAGUUUACUUGAUCUACAUGCCAAUAAUAUAUCCAUCAUCAAAACUGAUCACACUGCUGUGUUGCGAGAGAUCGACAGAAACAUGACUUUGAUUCUCUCUUUAAAUCUGUUAUUAUAUAUUAAACCAGGGGCUUUUAAAGACAUUUAUCUCAGAACUGGACAUCUGAUCUGUCUUUGUUUCAUUUGCUGCUCAGAAAGUUGAUCUUAACUAUAUGGUCUUAAUGUGAAAAGGCUGAAAUCUGGAAAGCAAAAGGACCGUUUCAGAUUUCACUUUUCAGAUACUGACUUUUUAGAUGGUCUGUGCUCUAUUUCCAGGAGGUAUAUUAUUACAUUAUGGAAAAUCCUAGGAAGCCAAUUUCUGUAUGAUUAAUACCCCAAAUGUAGCAGUAAUCCGAGAUCUAAUCGAAGAAAUUGAGUAUGUACGUUUACUGAAAUCAAGGAGCUUUACUUGGUUUCCAUUAAGUUAAGUACGUUGCCAGGUAAACAGCUUUCACAUCUUCAUACUUUAGAAAAACUAUUAAUUACACACAACAGUGCACCUAUUUGGGUUGAUGCCUUCAUAGACAUGCCUAAGCUUCAGUAUUUGGAUUUGAAUUUUAGCCGAAUUACAUUAAAACACUGUUGCACCACACUUUUGACUGGCACCCCUCAAAUCAGAUAUUUGAAUUUCAGCCGAAAUGCAGAAACUGGUCUUGAUGUAGGAGGAUGUAAUGGACUUGAUUCCCUUGAGAUUUUUGAUUUCCACCAUACAACUGUUGUACAUGUCGGAUACCUUUCAGUUUUGUCCAACCUAAAGUAUUUGAAGUAUUUGGAUGUUUCUUAUUCAAGAAUCACAUUUACUAAAAUAUCCAGCUUUUAUGGACUCAAGAAUCUUAAUGUUUUAAAGAUUACCUGCAAUAAUUUUUAGGGUGAUGUAGCAAGGUAUGCAUUUAAUAAUCUCACUUUUCUAGAACACCUUGACAUGUCAUACUGCUCAUUCAUCCAAGCUCACUUAAAAAUCUUCAAAGGCUUAGGACACAAUUUAAUGACUAGAUUUUCUGGCCCUCCCAAGCCUGAAACAAUUAAGGUCACUUUAUGUCGAUAAAAACAGCAUUACUAGCGUCCCACUUCGUGAUCUCCAAAAUUUGCCCGCAAACCUUUCAGAGUUUGAUUUGUCCUCUAACCCCAUCGAUUGCUCCUGCUCCCAGACAGAUUUUAUUUCAUGGAUUAUCCAAAAUCAGAACAUUUUGAAGCAACCGGAUAAUAUUUUCUGUAAAACCUUUUCACCAAGCUCAGAUUUUAGAGCAACAGACUUUGACACUGACAGCUGUGUGCACAAGAAGAGACUCACAAUUGUUUUAUCGGUAUGUUUUGUUACAGUAGUAGUUCUUUCAUCACUCUUGGUUUAUAGGUUCCAGUUUCAUCUUCAGUAUUGCUGUAUUUUACUGAGAGGCUACAGAACACCUGCACAAUAAGAAUGUUCCUAUGACGCAUUUGUGAUUUUCUCAAGCUAUGAUGGAGUCUGGGUCAUGAAUGAACUGAUGGAGAAUCUGGAGAACGGUGUUCCACCGGUUCAGCUUUGCCUUCAUAUGCGGGACUUUCAAGCAGGGAAGUCCAUCGCUUCCAACAUUAUCGAUGAAGGAAUAAUGGGCAGUCGUAAAAUCAUUGUGGUUGUGUCUCAACACUUUAUUGAUAGUGCCUGGUGUCGCUUUGAGUUUGAAUUAGCUUAGUCUCGCUUUAUGAUGGAGCGCAGUGCCAACAUCAUCAUCAUCAUUCUGGAAGAUGUGGAAGAGAGGAAGACUAAGAAAGUGUUUGGACUUCAUAAGCAUCUAAAAAAGAUCACAUACCUAAAAUGGAGCAGAGGCCAUUUGAGUAAAAUGAGAUUCUGGAUACGCCUCAGGAAAGCUAUUAUUGCCACAAACCAGAAGUUUUUAAUUAUUUAUUGGAAAACAGAUAGUCCCUUUAACAGUUACAGUGCAGUUUUCCAGUCAUUUUACAUUUCAUAACAGCUUUAAUAUGAUCAUUGUGUGUAUUCUGAUUAAAUAAAGCGAGGCCUCA